GAUGAACGCUGGCGGCGUGCCUAAUACAUGCAAGUCGAGCGAACAGAUAAUGAGCUUGUUCCUUUGACGUUAGCGGCGGACGGGUGAGUAACACGUGGAUAACCUACUUCUAUUACUGGGAUAAUUUCGGGAAACCGCAGCUAAUACUGCAUAACACAUUCAACCGCAUGGUUCAAUAGUGCUAGGCGCCUUUGCUGUCACUUAUAGAUGGUUCCGCGUCGUAUUAGCUAGUUGGUAAGGUAACGGCUUACCAAGGCAACGAUACGUAGCCGACCUGAGAGGAUGAUCAGCCACACUGGAACUGAGACACGGUCCAGACUCCUACGGGAGGCAGCAGUGGGGAAUAUUGCACAAUGGGCGAAAGCCUGACGGAGCAACGCCGCGUGAGUGAUGAAGGUCUUCGGAUCGUAAAGCUCUGUUGUCGGGGAAGAAAAGAUGUGUAAGUAACUGUGCACAUCUUGACGGUACCUAAACAGAAAGCAACGGCUAACUACGUG
rnacentral:rRNA from 1 species